rnacentral:misc_RNA from 1 species
AUUCUGUUCAAGACGAUCGUAAAUCUCCGAAUUCACCGGGAAAAGAAUCGACACCUUCCAUUGAAAUCACUGUUUAUUCAGUGAAGGCACGGAGCGGUUUUAGGAAGGUAAGAUUUUUUAAACAUCUGUCGAAAGAUACUGAACAAAAAAGCUGAUAUUAACUCUUCUAUAUAUUGCAAUGCGCGUUAUUAACAUUUUCGCGAUUUUUUAAGAUAUGCUUUCCCUAUACAAAAUCGAUAACUGUACCUCAAAGUGAAAUAUAAGGUGUACGUACUAAAUUAAGCAUUCAUAUUGGACGUACAUGUUUGUCAAAGUGUCUCUUGAAUAAACUAACAUAGUUGUGCACGCACCAUUGAUUUUAAAAGGUGUCUGUUUGUGAAAAUUCAAAAACGUAUCAGAUUUCUUUAAAUCAGCAUCUAUCAAUGGCCCCGAUAGCCAAAUACGGCGGCCAAAUGAUUUAAAUGCUACAAGGAGCGGAAUACAUUGUUGUUUAGUUAAUCUGAACAGGCGAACAGAACGACAAUCUAUGAAUACAGUCUGACUCACUGGACUACGGAAAAGAAUAAAUUUAUCAAGUCAGUCCUACACAUAGAUGACACACCUAAAACUUUAGGCUUGUUUAUAACAACAGAAGAUAUUCUGUGUUCAUCCUUUAUUUCCAUUGUACUUGUUCAUGAAAAAAAAAACAAGGUGUCACGGAAAACAAAACCUCUUAAUUAAGCUUAUAUCCAUCGCUAUGAUUUUAUUAAAAAAAAUUAUUUUCAAAUCUACAAACUAACAGAUUUUAUUUGAUAAACGAAAAUAUGCUAAAAAGGCAGUAAGCCUAAAUAACACAGUUCAGUGUUCCAGACGAUUCACAGACGAUAAUUUUAGCCAAAACUUUACAUACCGGAUCAGCUUAUACUCUCU